rnacentral:rRNA from 1 species
CACGUAGGAGGCGAGCGUUGUCCGGAAUCAUUGGGCGUAAAGAGCGCGCAGGCGGCUUGGCAAGUCGGGUGUGAAAUCCCGGGGCUCAACCCCGGGACUGCAUUCGAUACUGUCAGGCUAGAGGUAGGUAGGGGAGUGUGGAAUUCCUGGUGGAGCGGUGAAAUGCGCAGAUAUCAGGAGGAACACCCGUAGCGAAGGCGGCACUCUGGGCCGAUUCUGACACUGAGGAGCGAAAGCGUGGGGAGCGAACAGG